UUGAACGCUGGCGGCAUGGCUAAACAUGCAAGUCGAGCGCGAAAGUGGAGCAAUCCAUGAGUAGAGCGGCGAAAGGGUGAGUAAUGCGUUCCUACGUACCUCAAGGUCGGGGAUAGCCAGGGGAAACUCUGGGUAAUACCCGAUGUGAUCGAGAGAUCAAAGGCUUGCCGCCUUGAGAGCGGGGAACGUCCUAUCAGCUAGUUGGUGAGGUAACGGCUCACCAAGGCUUUGACGGGUAGCGGGUGUGAGAGCAUGGCCCGCCACAUCGAAACUGAGACACUGUUCGGACUCCUACGGGAGGCUGCAGUAACGAAUCUUCCGCAAUGCGCGAAAGCGUGACGGAGCAAUGCCGCGUGCAGGAUGAAGCCCCUCGGGGUGUAAACUGCUGUCAGGGAUUAGGAACACAAUGACCAGUCCCAAAGGAAGAGACGACUAACUCUGUGCCAGCCGCCGCGGUAAU
rnacentral:rRNA from 1 species